CAUGUACUCCCUUCGUUCCUAAAUACUUGUCUUUCUAGGCAUUUCAACAAGUGACUACAUACGGAGCAAAAUGAGUGAAUCUACACUUUAAAAUAUGUCUACAUAUAUCCGUAUGUAGUAGUCAUUUGAAAUGUCUAGAAAGACAAGUAUUUAGGAACGGAGGGAGUAGAUA
rnacentral:pre_miRNA from 1 species